CCUACGGGAGGCAGCAGUGAGGAAUAUUGGUCAAUGGACGAGAGUCUGAACCAGCCAAGUAGCGUGAAGGAUGACUGCCCUAUGGGUUGUAAACUUCUUUUAUAUGGGAAUAAAACGUUCCACGUGUGGGAUUUUGUAUGUACCAUAUGAAUAAGGAUCGGCUAACUCCGUGCCAGCAGCUGCGGUAAUACGGAGGAUCCGAGCGUUAUCCGGAUUUAUUGGGUUUAAAGGGAGCGUAGGUGGAUUGUUAAGUCAGUUGUGAAAGUUUGCGGCUCAACCGUAAAAUUGCAGUUGAAACUGGCAGUCUUGAGUACAGUAGAGGUGGGCGGAAUUCGUGGUGUAGCGGUGAAAUGCUUAGAUAUCACGAAGAACUCCGAUUGCGAAGGCAGUUCACUGGACUGCAACUGACACUGAGGCUCGAAAGUGUGGGUAUCAAACAGGAUUAGAUACCCUUGUAGUC
rnacentral:rRNA from 1 species